UCCCGGGACAGCUCAUUUGGUAUGGAGCUUGAGACUCUUAAUCUCGGGGCUGUGGGUUCGAGCCCCGUGUUGGGCA